rnacentral:rRNA from 1 species
AUUAGAGUUUGAUCCUGGCUCAGAAUCAACGCUGGCGGCGUGCCUAACACAUGCAAGUCGAACGCGAAAGGGGCUUCGGCCCUGAGUAGAGUGGCAAACGGGUGAGUAACGCGUGGGUGACCGCCCUCGAGUGGGGGAUAACGUUCCGAAAGGAGCGCUAAUACCGCAUGACAUCCUGCCUUUGGACAGGCGGUGAUCAAAGCUGGGGCCGCAAGGCCUGGCGCUUGAGGAGGGGCCCGCGUCCGAUUAGCUAGUUGGUAGGGUAAUGGCCUACCAAGGCGACGAUCGGUAGCCGGCCUGAGAGGGCGGACGGCCACACUGGGACUGAGACACGGCCCAGACUCCUACGGGAGGCAGCAGUGGGGAAUUGUUCGCAAUGGGCGCAAGCCUGACGACGCAACGCCGCGUGGAUGAAGGUCUUUCGGAUUGCAUCCUGUUGACCGGGAAGAAUGCCUUUGGGGCUAAUACCCCCGAAGGGUUACGGAACCGGUUGA